CGUACCCUGGAGUGGGGGAUAACGUACCGAAAGUUACGCUAAUACCGCAUACGAUCUAAGGAUGAAAGUGGGGGAUCGCAAGACCUCAUGCUCCUGGAGCGGCCGAUAUCUGAUUAGCUAGUUGGUAGGGUAAAAGCCUACCAAGGCAUCGAUCAGUAGCUGGUCUGAGAGGACGACCAGCCACACUGGAACUGAGACACGGUCCAGACUCCUACGGGAGGCAGCAGUGGGGAAUUUUGGACAAUGGGCGCAAGCCUGAUCCAGCAAUGCCGCGUGAGUGAA
rnacentral:rRNA from 1 species